CUCAUCCUCAUCAGGAGUCCAUGGACGUACCUCUCUUCAGCCCAUUCUUGUCACAACAUGGAGUCAUUCCCAUCUCUAGAUUUUGAUUCCAAGCAGACAAAAAAGAAAAAAGAGAGAGAAGGAAAUAACAACCACCACCAACACAAAGCACACACCCACCACUACCAAACCCACCAACACGUUAUCUUUCUCUCCCUCAGUCCUGCAAUUGAAGAGACAAACAAUGGAAGAUCUGUGGAAACGACCCAAUAGCUUCGCCAAAGAAGCAGCCAAGAAAUCAGACCAUCACCAGUUCGCCGCCAAAAUCUCAAGCGAUCCCGCGAGUUCGCCGCCGAUGCCCUCCAAGAUAGCCAACGAUAUCAAAACGGCCGCUCUUAAGCAAGCCGAUCAGAUCAAGGAGAGGGAGAUAGAUCGAUCUUCCACAUCCAACUUGUCUGCCCUCUCUUGAUUGCGGAUGAAAUACUUACUGAGUUAUGCAACUCACGUGCUCAAGGAGACUAACACGGACGAAAUACACAACCUAAUGGAGGAUCGACACGUAACCAAGACAAACGCGGAGCAUGGAUGCUCCGGAGUAUUCCAGAACUCACCUGUUUUUUGGUACUGAUUGAGUUUCAUUGAUCCUGUUUGGAAUUGUGGACAGGCCCAGUUGAGAGAGGUGACAUUGCAGGAGGAAAAUGCUGCCUAUGAAAAGGCUAUAUCGAACUAUGAAAGUAAGAUACAUGAGAAGAUUGAGGAAGUGGAGUUACUUAGGAGGAAGUUAGAGAUCGGUAUCUUUUGUCUCGGUUUUGAUUGUAAGACUCACAGUGAGGCCUAGUGAUCGCUGAACAAGAUGCUGGGCUCUUUAUUGAAACAAUGUUACAUAGAUUAUAUGUCUCACAUGGAGGCAUUUAACAUUAACAUUAUACUAUUUUUCGUUGCACUGUUUUAUUGUUUAAAAUACUGUUCAAGCAACUGUUAAUACGGAACAGUUUUGGGCCUCAAUGGACCUGCUUCGUUCUUCAUCUUGCGCCUCAUUUUUUCUCUUCAGCCAUCUCUUAGAAGCUUCAAAACCGAUCUGAAGAUUUCGCUGUGAUCUCAAGAUUCCCAUCCAGUCUGUUGUUUGUUGAAAGUAGCCCAAUUUUUCUCUUCGGCCACCUCUUAGAAGCUUCGAGACCAGCUCCUCUCUCUCGCAACCGCUUGCCUUCCCUCUCGCAACCUCCUGAAGUCAAACUCUAGCGAACGCUGGUUUUGCCCCUAACUCAAUUACAGAAUCUACCAGUGCUGCCGUGAGCUGAUAACGCCGACAGCUGUAAGUCUUCUGCUACGUGGCUCUGUGUUCUCUCUCCACGACGAGAGACGACCCUCCAAAAAGAGACGUUCUCUCUUUCUCUCUCAGCUGCUGAUCCACCCCUUCAGAGUCAUUUAAUAUGGGAAAGCACCAAAACUGGACCAGCAAGUCAUCAAUGGAAAUCAUCAGCAAAGAAACUUUUUGAACAACCUCAUAACUAUGUACAAGCUUAUACAGCUUUUAUAGCAUGUGUUAAUGGACAAAAUCAACUACUUUUUUGCAAGCUGUCCACUAGCAAUUGUAACCAGUCAGCCUUGAAUAGCCUAUUUCUUAAGCACUCUUGCAGCAUCAUCUGUAUUUGUGGAUAUCUUGGUUGUCUAAAUUUUAGCAGUUAUCUUAUGAUUCAUUUGUAAUUU